rnacentral:lncRNA from 1 species
AUCAAAUUUGCUCCAAUGAUUUCAUUUGCAAUUAGGGAUGGCAACAGAUUGGGUUCAGUAGAGUGAAGGCAGAUUCAUGUCAAAAAUCUCAACGUAGACUUGAUGAGUUUAUAAUCGAGGUUGAAAAAUGUUUGUAUUAUAAAAUUAUACCCACAAAUAGUUUGGAUCCGGUGGACUGGCAGAUAAGACCUAACGUAAGAAAAGAUGCGUGAAAGAUGUGGA